rnacentral:rRNA from 1 species
CUUAUUUAAAUUGUAAAGUAGAAUUUAGAUUUAUAGAAGGAAUGAAUUUGUGAGAUAUGAAAAUUAUUUUAGGGACCAGGAUUAGAUACCCUGUUACUUUUAGUUAGAAAAUUUUGGAUUAAUAAUAUUUAUGAAAUUUAUCGGAUUUGGCGGCAAGAUAGCCCCUUAGAGGAACCUGCCCUGUAAACGAUGAACCACGAGUACCUUACUUUUCUUGGUAAUUCAGUUUGUAUAUCGCUGUUGUCAGUCAGAUUCUGGAGAAUAUUUUCGAACUUGAUAAAUUCAUUGACUUCAAGUAAAGGUGCAGCUUAUAGGAAAGAUAGAGGUGGGUUACAUUUAUAAGAUUAAUACGGAUUGGAUAAGAGAAUUAUUCUAUGAAGGUGGAUUUAACUGUAAAACUAAUAUAAGUUUGGUGAGAGCUCUAUCUUGUGUACACACCGCCCGUCGCUCUCUUUUUUAAA